rnacentral:rRNA from 1 species
UACGGAAGGGGCUAGCGAUGUUCGGAAUUACUGGGCGUAACGAGCGCGUAGGCGGCUUUCCCAGUUGGGGGUGAAAACCCGGAGCUCAACUCCGGAACUGCCUUCAACACUGGUAGGCUCGAGUCCGGAAGAGGGGAGUGGAAUUCCCAGUGUAGAGGUGAAAUUCGUAGAUAUUGGGAAGAACACCGGUGGCGAAGGCGGCGCACUGGUCCGGUACUGACGCUGACACGCGAAAGCGUGGGGAGCAAACUGG